ACCCGAAACCCGGUGAUCUAGCCAUGGGCAGGUUGAAGGUUGGGUAACACUAACUGGAGGACCGAACCGACUAAUGUUGAAAAAUUAGCGGAUGACUUGUGGCUGGGGGUGAAAGGCCAAUCAAACCGGGAGAUAGCUGGUUCUCCCCGAAAGCUAUUUAGGUAGCGCCUCGUGAAUUCAUCUCCGGGGGUAGAGCACUGUUUCGGCAAGGGGGUCAUCCCGACUUACCAACCCGAUGCAAACUGCGAAUACCGGAGAAUGUUAUCACGGGAGACACACGGCGGGUGCUAACGUCCGUCGUGAAGAGGGAAACAACCCAGACCGCCAGCUAAGGUCCCAAAGUCAUGGUUAAGUGGGAAACGAUGUGGGAAGGCCCAGACAGCCAGGAUGUUGGCUUAGAAGCAGCCAUCAUUUAAAGAAAGCGUAAUAGCUCACUGGUCGAGUCGGCCUGCGCGGAAGAUGUAACGGGGCUAAACCAUGCACCGAAGCUGCGGCAGCGACACUGUGUGUUGUUGGGUAGGGGAGCGUUCUGUAAGCCUGUGAAGGUGUGCUGUGAGGCAUGCUGGAGGUAUCAGAAGUGCGAAUGCUGACAUAAGUAACGAUAAAGCGGGUGAAAAGCCCGCUCGCCGGAAGACCAAGGGUUCCUGUCCAACGUUAAUCGGGGCAGGGUGAGUCGACCCCUAAGGCGAGGCCGAAAGGCGUAGUCGAUGGGAAACAGGUUAAUAUUCCUGUACUUGGUGUUACUGCGAAGGGGGGACGGAGAAGGCUAUGUUGGCCGGGCGACGGUUGUCCCGGUUUAAGCGUGUAGGCUGGUUUUCCAGGCAAAUCCGGAAAAUCAAGGCUGAGGCGUGAUGACGAGGCACUACGGUGCUGAAGCAACAAAUGCCCUGCUUCCAGGAAAAGCCUCUAAGCAUCAGGUAACAUCAAAUCGUACCCCAAACCGACACAGGUGGUCAGGUAGAGAAUACCAAGGCGCUUGAGAGAACUCGGGUGAAGGAACUAGGCAAAAUGGUGCCGUAACUUCGGGAGAAGGCACGCUGAUAUGUAGGUGAAGUCCCUCGCGGAUGGAGCUGAAAUCAGUCGAAGAUACCAGCUGGCUGCAACUGUUUAUUAAAAACACAGCACUGUGCAAACACGAAAGUGGACGUAUACGGUGUGACGCCUGCCCGGUGCCGGAAGGUUAAUUGAUGGGGUCAGCGCAAGCGAAGCUCUUGAUCGAAGCCCCGGUAAACGGCGGCCGUAACUAUAACGGUCCUAAGGUAGCGAAAUUCCUUGUCGGGUAAGUUCCGACCUGCACGAAUGGCGUAAUGAUGGCCAGGCUGUCUCCACCCGAGACUCAGUGAAAUUGAACUCGCUGUGAAGAUGCAGUGUACCCGCGGCAAGACGGAAAGACCCCGUGAACCUUUACUAUAGCUUGACACUGAACAUUGAGCCUUGAUGUGUAGGAUAGGUGGGAGGCUUUGAAGUGUGGACGCCAGUCUGCAUGGAGCCGACCUUGAAAUACCACCCUUUAAUGUUUGAUGUUCUAACGUGGACCCGUGAUCCGGGUUGCGGACAGUGUCUGGUGGGUAGUUUGACUGGGGCGGUCUCCUCCUAAAGAGUAACGGAGGAGCACGAAGGUUGGCUAAUCCUGGUCGGACAUCAGGAGGUUAGUGCAAUGGCAUAAGCCAGCUUGACUGCGAGCGUGACGGCGCGAGCAGGUGCGAAAGCAGGUCAUAGUGAUCCGGUGGUUCUGAAUGGAAGGGCCAUCGCUCAACGGAUAAAAGGUACUCCGGGGAUAACAGGCUGAUACCGCCCAAGAGUUCAUAUCGACGGCGGUGUUUGGCACCUCGAUGUCGGCUCAUCACAUCCUGGGGCUGAAGUAGGUCCCAAGGGUAUGGCUGUUCGCCAUUUAAAGUGGUACGCGAGCUGGGUUUAGAACGUCGUGAGACAGUUCGGUCCCUAUCUGCCGUGGGCGCUGGAGAACUGAGGGGGGCUGCUCCUAGUACGAGAG
rnacentral:rRNA from 1 species